UGUAGUUUCAUCCUGAAGGCUUCUUUUUAUCUGUCGCCACAUCCUGCAAAUUGCCUGAAUGUGUUUGCAACUUGAGGAAUGUGACUACACUGGGUUUGUUAGAAGUCUGCAAACAUGGGGAAACAUAUGUCUGCAUCAGAGCUGUAGGCACAAAACAGUAGCAUAUUUUAAAUCUUUUAAAGGGGUUGUCCAGGCUUUUACUAUUGAUGACCUAUCAUAUCCUGAGGAUAGAACAUCAACAGUAAAAGCCUGGACAACCUCUUUAAAGAGUAACUAAACCUAUGAAUGAAAUUGAAUAUGAUGUCCCUAAUGCCCUAAAAAAAAAACUCCAAUAUACUUUAUUUAUUAAUUUUGUAUUUUUUUUUUUGUGUUUUUCCUACCUAAAGCACACCAUUCACUCUGCGCUUAAAUUCAGUUCUCCGUACCCGACAGCUCAGCAGUGUACGGAGUGUGAAAUUUAUGAAUGGGCCGCAGCAGCAAUGUGUGCUCCUGCACGUGCUCCCCGGGGGAUUACUAACUACCCUGUACCCAUGUACUAUGCCAGGAUUAGCUGAGCGGAGCGGCUUCUGACUGUUCCUGCUCCGUUAGGCUAAGAGUCCUGCAUGUCACCUCUUAGCUUAGCGGAGUAGGCAGAAGCAGGAGCCCGCUCCGCUCAGCUAAUCCUGGCAUAGUACAUGGAUACAGGGUACCCUUGUGCUAUGCCAGGAGUUAGUAAUCCUCCAGGGGGCACAGGCAGAAGCAGCAAUAUGCGUUCCUGCCCAUACUCCCUGCGCUGCUGCUGCCCCAUUCAUAAAUUUGGUGGGAAAAACACAAAGAAAAAUACAAAAUUUAUUUUAAAAAAAGUAUAUUGGAAAAAGUUUUUUUAGGCCAUUAAGGAUAUCAUAUUAAAUUUCAUUCAAAAGGUUUAGUUACUCUUUAAGACUUUGCAACCAUUAUUUAUUACCCUGAUGCAUCUUAAAUACAGAGGUGUACACCCUUUGAGUCUAAUUCAAUUACGAAGUGUGACUGCAGUCAUCAGCAGAAACUGCACCUCCCCUCCCAUAUGCCUGAUCACUCUCAAAGGGGUCUAUGAAGGUGAGAGUGGGGAUUUGUUUAGCAAGGUCAUCACACUGGAAUAGCUGGUGAUCACUUGCUUUAUUUUUACAGGUGAUCUUCUUUCCCUGGAUAACAAAGUUAGGCCUCAGUGCACACGACCGUUGUUUUAUUCC